UACGGAGGGUGCAACCGUUGCUCGGAAUCAUUGGGCGUAAAGCGCACGUAGGCGGCCCAGCAAGUCGGGUGUGAAAGCCCUCGGCUUAACCGAGGAAGUGCAUUCGAAACUACUGAGCUUGAAUACUGGAGAGGAUCGCGGAAUUCCCGGUGUAGAGGUGAAAUUCGUAGAUAUCGGGAGGAACACCAGUGGCGAAGGCGGCGAUCUGGACAGAUAUUGACGCUGAGGUGCGAAAGCGUGGGGAGCAAACAGG
rnacentral:rRNA from 1 species